rnacentral:rRNA from 1 species
UGGGGGAUAUUGCACAAUGGGCGAAAGCCUGAUGCAGCGACGCCGCGUGGGGGAUGAAGGCCUUCGGGUUGUAAACUUCUUUUGCUCUGAACAAGGCGCACCAUGGGGUGUGUUGAGUGUAGGGGUUGAUUAGCGCCGGCUAACCACGUGCCAGCAGCCGCGGUAAUACGUAGGGCGCGAGCGUUGUCCGGAAUUAUUGGGCGUAAAGGGCUUGUAGGUGGCUGGUUGCGUCUGUCGUGAAAGCUCAUGGCUUAACUGUGGGUUUGCGGUGGGUACGGGCUGGCUUGAGUGCAGUAGGGGAGGCUGGAAUUCCUGGUGUAGCGGUGGAAUGCGCAGAUAUCAGGAGGAAUACCGGUGGCGAAGGCGGGUCUCUGGGCUGUUACUGACACUGAGGAGCGAAAGCAUGGGGAGCGAACAGG